rnacentral:rRNA from 1 species
UGGUGGAGUGAUUUGUCUGGUUAAUUCCGUUAACGAACGAGACCUCGACCUGCUAAAUAGUUCGGCGAACUCUUCGGGGUUCGUACGAUUACUUCUUAGAGGGACUAUUGCUGUGUAGGCAAUGGAAGUUCGAGGCAAUAACA